CGAGUCGCAAAAUUCGCAGUUUUCCUUGAUCAGCCAUAAUACAGGCCGCAUCGUUAUUACCUCCGCAAUAUUUGGAUGACGAGAACACCGAACAAUUAGCGGAAAAUUCACUUGAAAGCCGGCUUGCGCCACUUCGUGAGCUCGUACCAAAUGGGUGAGCUGAUUGGCUUUUAGGAACCGUUCCAAUGCUUCAACACUAAAAAUAUGAGCGGUACCACGUCUGGUGUUCACGGCAAAUCCCUCAUUGGCCAGCAGUUCCAUUGCGAGUUUAUCAUUCACGGUUUUUGGCCUAAAACAGGAUGUUGAAUCUAGUUUCGUACGAAAAACGAAUCUCAAUGACAUGCAUUAAUAUAUAACAUUGUAUAUACUUUC